UCAUAUUUCACUACUUGAAUUAGGAACACACAUUUUGAACUUGAGAAUGCUCAGUCUGAUCUCAAAAGCAAAGCUGGCUUGGGCCUGGUUAGUACUUGGAUCGGAGACGUCUGGGAAUACCGGGUGCAACAUGGG
rnacentral:rRNA from 1 species